UACCAGCUCUCCGAGUGGUAGGGAUGAUUAUUGGGCUUAAAGCGUCCGUAGCCGGCUUAGCAAGUCUCCUGUUAAAUUCAGCGACCUAAUCGUUGAGCCGCGGGAGAUACUACUAGGCUAGGAGGCGGGAGAGGUCAACGGUACUUCCGGGGUAGGGGUGAAAUCCUAUAAUCCCGGGAGGACCACCAGUGGCGAAGGCUAUUGACUAGAACGCGCUCGACGGUGAGGGACGAAAGCUGGGGGAGCGAACCGGAUUAGAUACCCCGGUAGUCCCAGCUGUAAACGAUGCGAGCUAGGUGUUGGGGUGGCUACGUGCCACUUCAGUGCCGCAGGGAAGCCAUUAAGCUCGCCGCCUGGGGAGUACGGCCGCAAGGCUGAAACUUAAAGGAAUUGGCGGGGGAGCACCACAAGGCGUGAAGCUUGCGGUUC
rnacentral:rRNA from 1 species